GCCGGCUUAGCUCAGUUGGUAGAGCAACUGACUUGUAAUCAGUGGGUCACCAGUUCAAUUCCGGUAGCCGGCA
rnacentral:tRNA from 1 species